UACGUAGGGGGCAAGCGUUGUCCGGAAUCAUUGGGCGUAAAGAGCGUGUAGGCGGCUCGAUAAGUCUGCUGUGAAAGUCCAGGGCUCAACCCUGGAAGGCCGGUGGAAACUGUCGGGCUAGAGUCCGGAAGAGGCGAGUGGAAUUCCCGGUGUAGCGGUGAAAUGCGCAGAUAUCAGGAAGAACACCCGUGGCGAAGGCGGCUCUCUGGGACGGUACUGACGCUGAGACGCGAAAGCGUGGGGAGCGAACAGG
rnacentral:rRNA from 1 species